UAGGGAAUCUUCGGCAAUGGGGGCAACCCCUGACCGAGCAACGCCGCGUGAGUGAAGAAGGUUUUCGGAUCGUAAAGCUCUGUUGUAAGAGAAGAACGUGUGUGAGAGUGGAAAGUUCACACAGUGACGGUAACUUACCAGAAAGGGACGGCUAACUACGUGUCAG
rnacentral:rRNA from 1 species